GACGAACGCUGGCGGCGUGCCUAAUACAUGCAAGUCGAACGCAGUGGGGACGGGUGAGUAACACGUGGGUAACCUCCCAUCAGAGGGGAUAAAACUUGGAAACUGGUGCUAAACCGAUACUGAUGGAUGAACCCGCGGGGCAUUAGCUAGUUGGUGAGGUAACGGCGCACCAAGGCCACGAUGCAUAGCCGCCCUGAGAGGGUGAUCGGCCACACUGGAACUGAGACACGGCCCAGACUCCUACGGGAGGAAGCAGUCGGGAAUCUUCGGCAAUGGACGAAAGUCUGACCGAGCCACGCCGCGUUAGUGAAGAAGGUUUUCGGAUCGUAAAGCUCUGAUGUUAGAGAAGCGGUAUCUAACCAGAAAGCCACGGCUAACUACGUGCCAGCAGCCGCGGUAAUUC
rnacentral:rRNA from 1 species